AUUGAACGCUGGCGGCAUGCCUUACACAUGCAAGUCGAACGGCAGCAUGGGGGCAACCCUGGUGGCGAGUGGCGAACGGGUGAGUAAUACAUCGGAAUGUACCCAGUAGUGGGGGAUAACUAGUCGAAAGAUUAAGCUAAUACCGCAUACGCACUAUGGUGGAAAGCGGGGGAUCGCAAGACCUCGCGCUAUUGGAGCAGCCGAUGUCCGAUUAGGUAGUUGGUGGGGUAAAAGCCUACCAAGCCUGCGAUCGGUAACUGGUCUGAGAGGACGACCAGUCACACUGGGACUGAGACACGGCCCAGACUCCUACGGGAGGCAGCAGUGGGGAAUUUUGGACAAUGGGGGAACCCUGAUCCAGCAAUGCCGCGUGUGUGACGAAGGCCUUCGGUUGUAAGCACUUUUGGUCGGACGAAACGGCGCGUUCUAAUACAGAGUGCUAAUGACGGUACCCGCACGAAUAAGACACCGGCUAACUACGUGCCAGCAGCCGCGGU
rnacentral:rRNA from 1 species